rnacentral:rRNA from 1 species
GACGUAGGGCGCGAGCGUUGUCCGGAUUUAUUGGGCGUAAAGAGCGUGUAGGCGGCCCGGUAAGUCCGCUGUAAAAGUCAAAGGCUCAACCUUUGAAUGUCAGUGGAUACUGCCGGGCUAGAGUCCGGAAGAGGCGAGUGGAACUCCUGGUGUAGCGGUGGAAUGCGCAGAUAUCAGGAAGAACACCAACGGCGAAGGCAGCUCGCUGGGACGGUACUGACGCUGAGACGCGAAAGCGUGGGGAGCGAACAGG